CCCGGUGGCCAUACCGGAGGUGUCCCACCCGUUCCCAUUCCGAACACGGCAGUGAAAGCCUCCAGGGUCGAUGGUACUUCCUUACUUCGUUUGGAGGGAGAGUAGAUCGCCGCCGGGU
rfam:Candidate division WOR-1 bacterium RIFCSPHIGHO2_01_FTLL_53_15 rifcsphigho2_01_scaffold_757, whole genome shotgun sequence.